GGGGUCGACUGGUUUUGACAGCGAGAUUAAUUAAACGGUAAGCACGUCGUGUAAUGACUUUGAGACACGUAAAAGGCUAGGUCAAACUUUAAACGGCGAGAAUAACUACGCUUUAGCUGCUUAAUCUGAAUUUAUAGUAAGAUAAGCCUCGGCACACAAGGUGUGCAAGCUAAAUGUCCCUUGAAAGCCUUGGUUAACGGCGGUCAGUUUUGGGGCAUCGUAAAAGUUAACAUAGAAAGCAAAGUGCUUUGAUUUGCUUUUGAAACUUAAGAAGCUAAGUUGUAGGUAGAGUGUUUUUAAUCAGCCUGCAAACGAAAACCAUGAAAAAACUAAACGUGUAGAAAGCCCUUUGGUUACUUGUUUGGACCCGAGUUCGAAUCUCGGCGACUCCAC
rnacentral:tmRNA from 1 species